rnacentral:rRNA from 1 species
UAUUGGACAAUGGGCGAAAGCCUGAUCCAGCAAUGCCGCGUGAGUGAUGAAGGCCUUAGGGUUGUAAAGCUCUUUUACCCGGGAUGAUAAUGACAGUACCGGGAGAAUAAGCUCCGGCUAACUCCGUGCCAGCAGCCGCGGUAAUACGGAGGGAGCUAGCGUUGUUCGGAAUUACUGGGCGUAAAGCGCACGUAGGCGGCUUUGUAAGUUAGAGGUAAAGCCUGAGCUCAACUCCAGACCGCCUUAAGCUGCAUCGCUUAAUCCAGAAGGUAGUGAAUUCCAGUGAGGGGUAAAUUCGAGUUUCGAAGACACCAGUGCAAGCGCUACUGGCUGGUUAGCGUGCGUGAGACAG